UGGGGAAUAUUGCACAAUGGAGGGAACUCUGAUGCAGCGACGCCGCGUGAACGAAGAAGGCUUUCGAGUCGUAAAGUUCUUUUAUAUGGGAAGAUAAUGACGGUACCAUAAGAAAAAGCCCCGGCUAACUACGUGCCAGCAGCCGCGGUAAUACGUAGGGGGCUAGUGUUGUCCGGAAUCACUGGGCGUAAAGGGUUCGCAGGCGGAAAUGCAAGUCAGGUGUAAAAGGCAGUAGCUUAACUACUGUAAGCAUUUGAAACUGCAUAUCUUGAGAAGAGUAGAGGUAAGUGGAAUUUUUAGUGUAGCGGUGAAAUGCGUAGAUAUUAAAAAGAAUACCGGUGGCGAAGGCGACUUACUGGGCUCAUUCUGACGCUGAGGAACGAAAGCGUGGGUAGCAAACAGG
rnacentral:rRNA from 3 species